UACGUAGGGUGCAAGCGUUGUCCGGAAUUAUUGGGCGUAAAGAGCUCGUAGGCGGUCUGUCGCGUCGGCUGUGAAAACCCGGAGCUCAACUCCGGGCCUGCAGUCGAUACGGGCAGACUGGAGUUCGGCAGGGGAGACUGGAAUUCCUGGUGUAGCGGUGAAAUGCGCAGAUAUCAGGAGGAACACCAGUAGCGAAGGCGACACUCUGGGCCGGAACUGACGCUGAGGAGCGAAAGCGUGGGGAGCAAACAGG
rnacentral:rRNA from 1 species